rnacentral:tRNA from 1 species
CGUCGAUCUUAUGGCCCAGUGGUUAAGGCGCUCGCUUUACAAUUCGCUAAAGUUGACCGCGAGAGAUCGCAGGUUCGAUCCCUGCUAAGAUCAUGUUA